rnacentral:rRNA from 1 species
GAAAUAGGGAACUCUUUGGACACUCGUGAACAGGUGGUGCAUGGUUGUCGUCAGCUCGUGUCGUGAGAUGUUGGGUUAAGUCCCGCAACGAGCGCAACCCUCGUUCUAUGUUGCCAGCACGUAAUGGUGGGAACUCAUGGGAUACUGCCGGGGUCAACUCGGAGGAAGGUGGGGAUGACGUCAAAUCAUCAUGCCCCUUAUGUCUUGGGCUUCACGCAUGCUACAAUGGCCGGUACAAAGGGCUGCAAUACCGUAAGGUGGAGCGAAUCCCAAAAAGCCGGUCCCAGUUCGGAUUGAGGUCUGCAACUCGACCUCAUGAAGUCGGAGUCGCUAGUAAUCGCAGAUCAGCAACGCUGCGGUGAAUACGUUCCCGGGUCUUGUACACACCGCCCGUCAAGUCAUGAAAGUCGGUAACACCUGAAGCCGGUGGCCCAACCCUUGUGGAGGGAGCCGUCGAAGGUGGGAUCGGUAAUUAGGACUAAGUCGUAACAAGGUAGCCGUACCGGAAGGUGCGGCUGGAUCACCUCCUUUCUGAG